rnacentral:rRNA from 1 species
CUACGGGUCGCACCAGUGGGGAAUCUUAGACAAUGGGCGCAAGCCUGAUCUAGCCAUGCCGCGUGAGUGACGAAGGCCUUAGGGUCGUAAAGCUCUUUCGCUGGGGAAGAUAAUGACGGUACCCAGUAAAGAAACCCCGGCUAACUCCGUGCCAGCAGCCGCGGUAAUACGGAGGGGGUUAGCGUUGUUCGGAAUUACUGGGCGUAAAGCGCGCGUAGGCGGAUCAGAAAGUUGGGGGUGAAAUCCCGGGGCUCAACCCCGGAACUGCCUUCAAAACUCCUGGUCUUGAGUUCGAGAGAGGUGAGUGGAAUUCCGAGUGUAGAGGUGAAAUUCGUAGAUAUUCGGAGGAACACCAGUGGCGAAGGCGGCUCACUGGCUCGAUACUGACGCUGAGGUGCGAAAGCGUGGGGAGCAAACAGGAUUAGAUACCCCAGUAGUC